CCUACGGGGGGCAGCAGUGAGGAAUAUUGGUCAAUGGACGAGAGUCUGAACCAGCCAAGUAGCGUGAAGGAUGACUGCCCUAUGGGUUGUAAACUUCUUUUAUAUGGGAAUAAAACGUUCCACGUGUGGGAUUUUGUAUGUACCAUAUGAAUAAGGAUCGGCAAACUCCGGGCCAGGAGCCGCGGUAAUACGGAAGGCCCGAGCGUUAUCCGGAUUCAUUGGGCUUAAAGGGGGCGUAGGCGGGCGUUCAAGUCAGCUGUAAAAUCGCGCGGCUCAACCGCGCCCCGCAGUUGAAACUGGGCUCCUUGAGUUCACAACAGGCAGGCGGAAUGCGUGGUGUAGCGGUGAAAUGCAUAGAUAUCACGAGGAACCCCGAUUGCGAAGGCAGCCUGCCGGGGUGCGACUGACGCUGAGGCUCGAAGGUGCGGGUAUCAAACAGGAUUAGAUACCCUUGUAGUC
rnacentral:rRNA from 1 species